AUCCACUGUAUGAGGGGCCCAAAUCACUGCGGGAAAACCAGCUUUCAUUCCAGACAUGGAAAUUCCUAUGUGCAAAAAUGAACAAAGUGCCAGUCGGUUCUUGGCUGCAUUGCAGCUAUAAAAAGUGAGAAGAGCAAGAAAACUUGAGGGGACAUCCAAGGAGGAAGGAGCACAGACACACUCUCAAGAAUUGCAUGUUACUUUCUACAGGUAACUAGUACCCAUGUGAGGCUUCCGCCAAAAAUAGAAAUAACUUAUUUAUAGCAUUUUGUUAUUUUUUAAUUAUUAUUUUUUCAAGCAAGACUCCACCUUGUGUAGAUCUGUUAGAGAUUAUCUGCAUAAUUAAAUAUAGAAGGAGUAGCAUAUCUGGUACUAAAGGAAAAUCAGAAAGGCAUCUAAGAGGGGAGAACCCUGAGAGAAUUGAAUACUUGUGAGUUACUUGGAUAAAGAAUCUGGCUGAACUCAGCUAAUUCCAAGACAUGGUGUUAUACUAACAUAGGCAUAGCCUUGCUGCUUCUGAAUAA